GAUGAACGCUGGCGGCGUGCCUAAUACAUGCAAGUCGAGCGAACGGACGAGAAGCUUGCUUCUCUGAUGUUAGCGGCGGACGGGUGAGUAACACGUGGAUAACCUACCUAUAAGACUGGGAUAACUUCGGGAAACCGUAGCUAAUACCGGAUAAUAUUUUGAACCGCAUGGUUCAAAAGUGAAAGACGGUCUUGCUGUCACUUAUAGAUGGUUCCGCGCUGCAUUAGCUAGUUGGUAAGGUAACGGCUUACCAAGGCAACGAUGCAUAUCCGACCUGAGAGGGUGAGCGGCCACACUGGAACUGGGACACGGUCCAGACUCCUACGGGAGGCAGCAGUAGGGAAUCUUCCGCAAUGGGCGAAAGCCUGAUGAAGCAACGCCGCGUGAGUGAUGAAGGUCUUCGGAUCGUAAAACUCUGUUAUUAGGGAAGAACAUAUGUGUAAGUAACUGUGCACAUCUUGACGGUACCUAAUCAGAAAGCCACGGCUAACUACGUG
rnacentral:rRNA from 1 species